CCAAACAAGGAAAGGAAAAAGAAAAACAAAACCCUUGCAAAAAAUAUGCAUAGCCAAGCAAAACAAAUCCCCAUAUUAGCUAUGUCCAAAACUGGAUAUCUCAUUCUGUGGAUCUAAUCUAUCAUCCCUUUGUUAGGAGGUGGGCAGAAAUUCUAAAUCACCAAUCUUCCGGAAUUAUGGUUUAUUUUAUUUUAUUUUAUUUUAUUUUUAAAAAACCCUUACCUUCCAUCUUGGAGUCAAUACUGUGUAUUGGCUCCAAGGCAGAAGAGUGGUAAGGGCUAGGCAAUGGGGGUCAAGUGACUUGCCCAGGGCCACACAGCUGGGAAGUGUCUGAGGUCUCUUGAGAAAGGCUUUGGAGAAGGGAAGCUCUUGGAGGACAAUCUCUAAGGAGGUCUCAAUGGAGCUCCUCUGAGGGGACUCUGUCCCUCUGGAGGCUCUGGAGAGAGGCCCUUUGAAAUAGUCUCUGGCUGGAUCUCUCUUUGAGGAGGACUCUGGCUGGAACUCUCUGGUGAAGUCAGUUGAGAUGGAGCUGGCCUGGUGUCACUAGAAUCCUUGCUUAGACAGACCUUGUGGGGUUGCUUCUAUCCCUUCCUGUUUUCCUCUUCUUCCACCAUUAGAAUACAAACAUUUCAUUCUUAUGAAGUAAUUUCUGAUUGCUCAUUUGUAUUUAUUCCUGAGGGCUUGAAGGUCGCACUCCUCUGGAUUUCUUCAUUAUACUCCAGAAAUUCUUCGUCCUAGAAGAUCAUUUCAGCCCUGAAACUCACACUUUGGAAGGAUCCUCUGUCCCUGGGGUCCCUCUCCUCUGACUGAGAGUGGAUUCUCCAGAACUUCUAUUUAAAGAGAGAGCCUAGGCCAGUCACCCCCUUUUCUCACUCCCUUUUCCCUUAGAAUGUAAACUUCCUGAUGGUGGUAUCUAUCUUUCUUUCUGCUUGUAUUUAUAUUCUCAAUGCCUAGCACAGUGCCUGGCACAUAGAAAUGCUUAAUAAAGAUUGUUGACUGACAUAGACACACAUAUUUAUAGUAUAGUUAGUUCUUUCUGUAGAUGCAAAGAUAGAAAUAAAUAGGGUGCUCAUUGAUUGGGGAAUGACUGAGCAAAAAUUAUAGUAUCUGAGUAUAAUGGAAUAUUAUUGUGUUAUAAGAAGUGAAGAGAUGGUUUCAGAGAAACCUGGGAAUGAAUUAUGAUAUUAAUAUUGUAACAAAUAAAGAACUCUAUAGGAUAGAAUUUGUUUUUGCCUACUGAACUAUUUUAUACAGGACAGUUUUUUUUAAACCCUUACCUUUUGUCUUAAAAUCCAUUCUAAGAGCCAGUUCCAAGGCAGAAGAAUGGUAAGAGCUAGGCAAUUGGGGUCAAAUGACUUGCCCAGGGUCACACAGCUGGGAGGUGUUUGAGGCCAGAUUUGAAUCUAGGUCCAUUGCCACUCCAGGCUUGGCUCUCAGUUCAUUGAGCCACCUACCUGCCUCUUUGACUGCAAUAUUCUUAAUAUUCUUUAAAAAAAUUAAAAAUUUUUAUCAUCAUGCAAAACAUACUUCCAUAUUGAUCAUUGUAAGAUCAAAGUUGUACAUAACUGAGAUCCCAAAUUAAAACCAUAAAUACACUGAUGUUACGGAUGACUCCAGAAGUUCUUUCCUUGGAGGUCAACAGCAUUCCCCAUCAUAAUUCUUUUAGGAUUGUCCCAGAUCAUUGCAUUACUGAGAAAUACUCUUAAUAUUCUGAGGCCAGAAGUAGAUUAAGAUACAAUUGGGAAACAUUUAAUAAGUAAAAGCACACUUCAAAUGGAGAUAACAUGACAUUUAAAAAUUUAUUUAGAAUAUUUUUCCAUGGUUACACAAUUCAUGAUUUUUUCCACCCCUCUUCCCUCCCUCCUCCCGCAGCUGACGAGCAGUUCCACUCAGUUAUACAUGUAGCAUUGUUCAAAAUUUAUUUCCAUGUUGCAAUAGAGUGAUCUUUUAACACCCAAACCCCAAACAUGUCCCCAUCAUAAUAAUAUAAUAACAUUACAUUUUAAAACUAAGUCAAUAUGUUGCCUAUAGGGAUCCUUAUGAGCAGAUUAGAGGCCCCUGUUUCUAAUUGAAUUUGACCCCAGUGGUCUGGACUUUAGGAAGUGACACAGAAAGCACUGAUCAUGCUGAUGAAACAUAAAUGAUGCUCAUCCUUUGCUAGUACACCCCUAUCUGGAGGGAAAGAGGAAAGCUGUCUGUUUUUGAUGGGAACAUAAAGGUAAAGAGGUUUCAUGUCAUUUCUGUAAUAUGGUGGCAUGGAAAGGGUGUUGUACCAUCCAUCUCUCCUUCUCAGAGCCCAAUUCCCAGAAAAAGCUGUUUAGUCUCAUUGACACUAUUCACUUACUUCAUCACUCAGCUGAAAUGACUCUCUCCAAAGUUGCAAAUGCUGUUUGUUAUCAGCCUAUUUGAUUUCUCCUCAGUUGCUGACUCAUUUUUUUGAAUGCCCAUAGAAAUCCCUGAGAAUAUAUUCUUUCUGCUCUGGGAAGUGGUUAAUACAAAUCCAUAACUUUGCUUUGACAAUCAGUUCCCUUCCAGAAAUCUCUCCCCAUUCCAGGGCAUUCCUAAUUGUUAUCCUUCUUUGACUCCCUCCCCUUCCAUCCUCUAUGUUGCAUCCAAACAUUUAUAACUACAGACUUUUAUAAGUUAUCCCUGGGGGCAGCUGGGUGGCUCAGUGGAUUGAGAGCCAGGACUAGAUAUGGGUGGUCCUGGGUUAAAAUAUGGCUUCUGAUGCAUCCUACCUGGGUGACCCUGGGUUGGGGAUGUCACUUAACCCUCAUCACCUAGCCCUUACUGCUCUCUUUUGCCUUGGAAACAAUACAUAGAAACGAUUCUAUGGCAGAAGUUAAGAGUUUAAAAAAAUAACUAUGGGUUUUUAGUAGCAUAAAGAUUAAAAGCAAACUUAGAUAAAAGAAACUUCCAAAGAUUUGGGGGUUUCAUCAGUUUCUGAUAGACAGAAAGAUUAUUUUCUCUUCCUACAAGUGAUGGAAAAGCAGGAAGGGAUGGAAAGUAUGCUAUGUACUUGACUAAGUCUCUUACCAUCAGGCAUAUGUUGGAGAAGCUGUUCAUACAAUGAAUAGAGGGCUGGGCUUAGAAGAUUUGAAUUCAAACUCUCAUUAGCUCAUAAGCCUCAGACUCUCAUUAGCUUUGUGACUCUGGGUAAAUCACUUAACCUCUAUCUGCCUCAGUUUCCUCAUCUGUAAAAUGGGCAUAAUAAGAGCACCUACCUCCCCAGGGUUGUCGUGAGGAUGGAAUGGAAUUAUAUUUGUAAAGUGCUUAGCACAGUGCCUAAUAAUGUUAGCUAUUUUAUCAGUAAGUCUAUUUGUAAAGGGCUUAGCAUGGACCCUGGCACAUUGUAAGCGCUAUCUAAAUGGUAGUUAUUAGAACAGCACCUUCUUUUGUGACCUGGAAGGAUCCUGCUUGGCUUGGCCCAGAGCACCCUUGAUUCAUGAACUAUUGGUGCUCUGUUCCUCCCAGUAUGGUUCCCAGAAGUUACAUCUUUUGCUGUUGCCCUUCCUCCAGCUGUGUGCUUUGAUCAGAGCUUUUCCUCACCCUUUGGCCGUGGGAGGCAAGGAGGUUCUGUCACCUUACCAAAAGCCACCCUACUCUGGGAAUACCUCUAAAACGAAGUCCCUGAGCCUCAUUUGUUUUUACCUCCCAGGGCUUGCCUACUUUUGAAAAGGGUUAUUCAAAAUAAGUAUUUAGUGCCAGUCAAAUUGUUAAAAAAAAAAAAAAGUAAAAGGAAUAUCCCUGUGUAUUAAAGACAGCAAGGAAAAGAUUGCCUUGUGGGUAUCAAGUGAUUUGUGUGAUUGUUGCUUUCUGACAGGGCUCAUGUCAAAUAGAGCUGCUUCUAUGCCUAAAUGAAAGAGAAUUGGAGAAUCCUUUGGGAAAUUAUUAUCCUAUUCUCCUACCUUAGUUUCAGUCUUGGUUUGCUGAAAAGUUUCUUUUUUUCUGAUGGAAUUGAGCAGCUCUGUUCUGGCCUUUCUCAGAGGAGAGCCAAAAGAGCCUAUUAAUGUCUGGAAAAAAUGGGAAAAGAAUUGAAUCUGGAGUCAACAGACUAGUAUCUGAAUCCUGCUUUUACUAUUUAGAACACAUUUAGGGUGCAUACUGUCCAGAAUGAGGAAAUCUGAUAGCUCUCUUGUCUUCAUGGGCAGACAAUAUCUGGAUAAACUCCAUUCAUCAAUAUGUAACUUGAUUUCUUCUAGGAGAACCUAAACGGCUAAAAGAAAAGAUAGAAAUGGCAAAAACUGAAAGAUGUGUACAGGAUGGAGAUGGAGCGAUUGAAGAUGGAGAAUGAAGAAGAGGAGUCCACACUCUUCCUCAUGCUGGCAGUGGAGUCCCCUGGCUUUGAGCAUGGGAGAGUAAAGAAUGAAUGGAAAUUUCUUUGCUAAGUAUAGAUCAGAUUAGAACUGAUUGGAGAUAGUCUGAGGAAGCAACCAGCAGAGUAGCUCAGUCCAGUGAUGUGGAAUGAGACCAGCAUCUGCCAUAGGGUAAGAGCAAGCCUAAUUCCAAUCCAGCAUUUCUCCUAUGGCUUUCUUAGAUGGCAAGGAAGCUCUGGAUACUUUUCAAUCUGUCUAUUUCUUUUCCUUUUCAUUCCCCUCAAACUAUCUGGGAGGAAGGGUGAGAAAGGAAGGAAAAAAGUCCACCCAAAUGGCAAGAUUAUUGUAGCCUGCUAUUUGAUGCAUUGUUUUUAUUGUUGUUUUUGUUUGAGCAUUCUUAUGUUAUCUGAUUGUAUAAGUCAGAAGUUUGUUAAUAGUGAAUUGUUGUAGUUUGGUCGCAAAGAAGACAGAUAUGAAGAUAUCUCCUACUCUUCUACAGAAGUCAGAGUCCAUUGGUAUGGAGCAUUGCAUAGAGCCAGUUUUUAAAAAUUGUGUUAAUUGGUUUUGCUGAAUUUCUUUUUCUUCCUUAUUAAAUAAAUAAAAUUCUUUGUUAUAAAGAAUUUCCAUAAGGGAAGAGAAAGAAUUAAGAAGAAACUGAGGUGAGAAACAGUAUUAAUAAAAAGCUAAUGAAGAAUAGUGAGUUUUUGAGUCUUAUGAGUUAGUGGUUGUGAUUGAGGAAGUGAAGCCUGAACUUCAGAAAUGUGGGCUCAUGUGAGAAAGAGGUUUUAUAUUUUUAAACAUUGUGAGUAUAUCUCACAAUAUUUCUUCUAGGAGUCUCAUGAAGCUGGGGCUUAGACCAGUAACUGAGUAAAUUUUAUGGUUGGACUGAAUAUAUAUUUUUGAGUUGGUCACCAGGGAUUUAAAUUCUAAAUCCCAAUGAACUACUCAAGUCAGAAUGUAAUUUUAUGGUGGUUUAUUUAUAAUAGAAGGAAGAAAUUAAGAGAGAGAGAGAGAGAGAGAAACAGAGAGAGAGAGAGAGAGAGAGAGACAGAGACAGAGACAGAGACAGAGACAGAGAGACAGAGAGAGACAGAGAGAGAGAGAGGAAAAAGGGAAGGAUAGCUGCUCUGGCCUGGUCUGAACUGGGCAGGAGUUCAGAGGCCUUAGCCAAGGGUCUCUCUAGAGGCUGUUGCCUCCAGAAAAACCAAGGGGAGUCAGCCUUAUAACUCACCAUGUGAUUGUCUAAGGGAAGCAGUCUUAGGUCUCAUGCUCAAGCUUCUCUGUGGUCAAAUUCCAUGGCCAAGUCCCUCUCACAGGAAGUGAUGUGAAAUAUAAAGGCAGUUCUUUAUGUCACUUCCUGUGUCUUACGUGUAUCAAUGGUAGCUUAAACUUGGCUUUGGAUGGCCCAGGGGGUCAGUCAGUUAUUUCUGAUUUGUCACUGGCUAGCACAUGUGGGUCAUAGACUUUCCUUCCUCACACUUAAUCCUUAAGUGGGGGUGUAUACAUUCCUGGUUGCUAAAAUUCUAAAGACUAAGCAGGGUGGAGUAUAUAGUAUAGAUCUUUCCAACUUUUUCUGAAAUCACUCUGCUUAUCAUUUCUUAUAGCACAAUAGUAUUCCAUCACCAACAUGUACCACAAUUUGUUCAGCCAUUUGGAGUAAAUUUUUUGAUUUCACUUUUUUCCACUUCUAUGAAUUAAAAAAAAUUAACUCAUACCUUCUUAGAAUUAAGACUAAGUAAGAAUGUAAUACUAAGGCAGAAGAGUGGUAAUGACUAGGUAGGCAAUUGGGGUUAAGUGACUUGUCCAGGGUCACACAACUAGAAGUAUCUGAUUCCAAAUUUGAAACCAGAACCUCCCAUCUCCAAGUCUGGAUCUUUGUUCACCUAGGUUUCCCUGAAAAGGAACUUCUAACCAUGCCAUCUCUCCUAUCACCACUGAGCCACCUAGCUAUCCUUAUAUAUGAAUUUUUACAGGUUUUUGAGGGAUUCCUGUAUCCAAUCUCUUAUGUAAGCUCCUAUAGGCUCCAGGGGUUCUCACAUAUCCUCCUUCCUUUACAGCUCCCAUGUUUUAGCUCUCAUGGACAAAUCCCUCUGCCUUUUGGGAUUAUACAUGAAAUCAUGAAUCUCAGUUAGGUUCAGAUUGCUUUUAUGUGUAAUAUAUCACAGAUGUUACUUUUAAAGCUGUUCAACUCAUUUGUGUUUCCUUCUAUUUGCUGAUGUGUAUUUCUAAAAUACUUCAAUGACCUUUUUUUGUGGGCAUACCAUUGGUGGGCUUCUCUCUCUCAUUUCUUCCCCCCACAAAAAAUUGUGUGGGAAAUGAAAACCAAAACAUUUAUGCUUUAAGAAAUAAAACAAAUCUACCUAUUGUCCAUUUCCAAAAAUAUAUUUCUUAUUCUGUAUCUUGAGUCUCUCACUUCCUUGCCAGAAAGCUGGUAACAUCCUUCAUUAUUGGUCCUUGGAAUAUGCUCUAUCAUUGCGUUGUGGAUCAGAGUUCUGAAGCCUAUCAAAGUUGUUUUUUCUUAUAAGGUUUUUAUUAUUUAACAAAUUGUUCUGGCUCUCCUCACAUCAUUCUGCUGCAGUUUGAAAAUUCCUUUCAUGAUUUCUUAUGAUUCAAUAAUAGUCUAUUAGAUUCACAUGUCAUAAUUUGUUUAACCAUUCCCCAUAUGAUGCAUACCUCUUUAGUUUCAAAUUCUUUGAGAGCACAAAAAGCAGCUAUAAACAAAUUUGUACAUAUGGAUCCUUUUCCUCUUUCUUCGAUUUCAUUGGGGAAUAUCCCUAGUGGUAGUAUUGUUGGGUCAAAGGAUAUGCACAAUUCUAUGACCUUUUGAGUAAAAUUGUAAAUUGUAUUAUCUUUUGCUUCUUUUUAAAGAAAAUCCUUUAUUUUUGUUUUAGAAUUAAUACAAAGUAUUGGUUCUAAGGGAGAAGAAUGGUAAGGGCUAGGCCAAUUGGAUUAAGUGACUUGCUCAGAUUCACACAACUAGGAAGUAUCUGAGGUCAGAUUUGAAUUCAGGACCUCCUGUUUCUAGGUCUGGUUCUUGAUUCACUGAUUUAGCUGCCCUAAAGUCCAUUUCUUGAAUUAUUAUGGUUUUGAAGCAUUUUUUUCAAAUGACUGUGAAUAGCUUUAUUUUUUAUCCUUGAGAACUGUCUGUCUGUAACCUUUGGCCACUUAUCUAUUGAUGAAUGUUUCUGAACAUUUUCCAGUUUAUUAAUAUUCCUCUGGCACCAGGACACUGAGAACUGAACAUGACCUUCAGGACAUGUAUAGCCAGCAUGGUACAGUGAUGCUAUUGACUCCUUAUUUCUUCAAGUUGUACCAGAAGCCCAGGACUACCUUACCUUUUUUGGCAUGCCACAUCAUGUACUGAUUCAUGUUGAACUUACAGUCCAUUAAAAUGCCUUGAUUUUUUGGG